rnacentral:rRNA from 1 species
AUUGAACGCUGGCGGCAUACCUUACACAUGCACGACGAGGGGCAGCCUGGUGUAGCAACACACUGAUGGCGACCGGCAAACGGGCGCGGAACACGUACAGAACCUUCCUUCGAGCGGGGAAUAGCCCAGAGAACUUUGGAUUAAUACCCCAUAGUAUAUUGGAGUGGCAUCCCUUUGAUAUUACAGAUUCAUCACUUGAAGAUGGCUGUGCGGCUGAUUAGGUAGUUGGCGGGGUAACGGCCCGCCAAGCCUACGAUCAGUAACUGGUGUGAGAGCACGACCAUUCACACGAGCACUGAGACACGGGCCCGACUCCUACGGGAGGCAGCAGUAAGGAAUAUUGGUCAAUGGACGAAGGUCUGAACCAGCCAUGCCGCGUGGAGGAGGAAGGUCCUCUGGAUUGUAAACUUCUUUUAUAUGGGACGAAAAAAGGCUUUGCUAAGUCGUCUGACGGUACCAUAUGAAUAAGCACCGGCUAACUCCGUGCCAGCAGCCGCGGUAAGAC